AGAUGGUCGUCGUCUGUAUCCGAGAACGCCGAUUGUUAAAAAAAAAAAAUAAUACUAAAUAAACAAAUCCGUCGUUUUAAAACAUAUUCAAAAACGUUCGCGUUGUAACCUCAACGUUUUGCAUGUUCCACAUUGGCCAAUCGGACGCAGCCUGUAGAUAGCGCCGGCUAUGAGUUUUACAUGCGAACUACAUUAUGGCCGCUGGAAAUUACAAUUUAAGGUCACAUAAAUUACUCAUAAGAAAUGAAAAAUCGUCACUUGCUGAAAACUUAAAGAUUGUAACCACCAAUUGUAUUCGAUAUGAGCUUUUGACACGGUGUUGCCAAUCAGGUGCAGCAGUUUUUCGGAAACAAAUUACAAAAUCAACUUAGUACUAUUUUAUUAUUACCAGUGAUGGUUUUACAACUGGUGUGCUUUUUAAACAA